rnacentral:rRNA from 1 species
UACAGAGGGUGCGAGCGUUGUCCGGAAUCAUUGGGCGUAAAGCGCGUGUAGGCGGUCCGGUAAGUCCGCUGUGAAAGUCGAGGGCUCAACCCUCGAAUGCCGGUGGAUACUGUCGGGCUUGAGUACGGGAGAGGCAAGUGGAAUUCCUGGUGUAGCGGUGAAAUGCGCAGAUAUCAGGAGGAACACCGAUUGCGAAGGCAGCUCGCUGGAACGUUACUGACGCUGAGACGCGAAAGCGUGGGGAGCAAACAGG